rnacentral:rRNA from 1 species
CCUACGGGCGGCAGCAGUGAGGAAUAUUGGUCAAUGGCCGGAAGGCUGAACCAGCCAUGCCGCGUGAAGGUCAGUGCCCUAUGGGCGUUAAACUUCUUUUGUGCGGGAGCAAUAAUGGUCACGUGUGGCCAGACGAGAGUACCGUACGAAUAAGCAUCGGCUAACUCCGUGCCAGCAGCCGCGGUAAUACGGGGGAUGCAAGCGUUAUCCGGAUUUAUUGGGGUUAAAGGGUGCGUAGGCUGUGAGGUAAGUCAGCGGUGAAAUGCCUCCGCUCAACGGGGUGAAGUGCCAUUGAUACUGCCUUGCUGGAGUGCGGAUGCCGUGGGAGGAAUGUGUGGUGUAGCGGUGAAAUGCAUAGAUAUCACGCAGAACACCGAUUGCGAAGGCAUCUCACGAAUCCGCGAUUGACGCUGAUGCACGAAAGCGUGGGUAUCAAACAGGAUUAGAUACCCGUGUAGUC